rnacentral:rRNA from 1 species
AACACGUACACAACCUUCCUACAAGCUGGGGAAUAGCCCAUAGAAAUUUGGAUUAAUACCCCGUAACAUAACGAUGUGGCAUCACAUUGUUAUUAUAGCUUCUGCGCUUGUUGAUGGGUGUGCGGCUGAUUACAUAGUUGGCGGGGUAACGGCCCACCAAGUCUACGAUCAGUAGCUGAUGUGAGAGCAUGAUCAGCCACACGGGCACUGAGACACG